rnacentral:lncRNA from 10 species
CCAGUGAACACACAGAAGGGAAUAAUACCAUAUUUGCAGAAUUUACAAGCAGAGCAAAUAAAAUAUUGAAAUGUGUAAAUAAAGGUAUAUACAGACAUGAAUUGUUUUUCUAUAACUCCACAGGGGAAGCUGCUUUUUGACAAGAUUUUCAAACCUAGAAGACAAAAUGGUAAUAUCCAGAGAAGUGAGUCCAGGAAAGCAACCUUCUGUGGCUUGACCAUCGAGAUGGAAAAUCACUGAUCUUAUGAAAAGCCUUCAUAAGAUCCUCAGAGGAUAGUCUCAACAUCCUUCAAGAAACAUGAAUGGAGCUGGAAGACAAUCCUUAGCAAACUAACACAGGAACAGAAAACCAAAUACUGCACUUUCUAACUUAUAAGAGGGAGCUGAAUGAUGAGAACUCAUUGGCACAUAGAAGGGGACAACAGAUACUGAGGCCUACUGGAAGAUGUUCUUCCAGGCAAUGGAAAGAGAUAUGUGAACAGAAGAGAAAAGUCCAUGCCCUCAUGGGAGUUACAUCUCAGCUAAAGCUCUCACUCACGGUCUGAAUUACCAGGUUCACUUAUUUUUGUGUUUGUUGCCUGUCUCCCUUCUCUGGACUUCCAAAUUGCAGGCAUCUUGGCAAUUUUUUUCUCACUGUGUACAGUACUUAGUUUCUGGAAAAGUAUCCCUAACAUAAUAUUGGCCCAAUAAAUAUUUUU